GGGCCGGUGAGCUCACUGGUUUGAGCGCGGUGCUGACAAAAAUGACCAACACCGAGGUUGCGGGUUCGAUUCCCACUCGGUCCC
rfam:Apaloderma vittatum contig58458, whole genome shotgun sequence.